rnacentral:rRNA from 1 species
GCAAGUCGAACGAAGUAGUAAUACUUAGUGGCAGACGGGUGAGUAACAUGUAGGUAUCUUCCCUUUGGCCUGGAAUAACACGAGGAAACUUGUGCUAAUACCGGAUAAGUCUUUACGGAGAAAGCUUUAUGCACCAUUGGAUGAGCCUGCACUUGAUUAGUUUGUUGGUGGGGUAAUGGCCUACCAAGACUUUGAUCAAUAGCUGAUUUGAGAGGAUGAUCAGCCACAUUGGGACUGAGACACGGCCCAAACUCCUACGGGAGGCAGCAGUGGGGAAUCUUGCACAAUGGAGGAAACUCUGAUGCAGCGAUGCCGCGUGAGUGAAGAAGGCCCUUGGGUUGUAAAGCUCUUUCGUCGGGGAAGAAAAUGACUGUACCCGAAUAAGAAGGUCCGGCUAACUUCGUGCCAGCAGCCGCGGUAAUACGAAGGGACCUAGCGUAGUUCGGAAUUACUGGGCGUAAAGAGUUCGUAGGUGGUUGAAAAAGUUGGUGGUGAAAUCCCAGAGCUUAACUCUGGAACUGCCAUCAAAACUUUUCAGCUAGAGUUUGAUAGAGGAAAGCAGAAUUUCUAGUGUAGAGGUGAAAUUCGUAGAUAUUAGAAAGAAUACCAAUUGCGAAGGCAGCUUUCUGGAUCAUUACUGACACUGAGGAACGAAAGCAUGGGUAGCGAAGAGGAUUAGAUACCCUCGUAGUCCAUGCCGUAAACGAUGUGUGUUAGACGUUGGAAAUUUAUUUUCAGUGUCGCAGCGAAAGCGAUAAACACACCGCCUGGGGAGUACGACCGCAAGGUUAAAACUCAAAUGAAUUGACGGGGACCCGCACAAGUAGUGGAGCAUGUGGUUUAAUUCGAAGAUACGCGCAGAACCCUACUAACACUUGACAUGUUCGUCGCGACUUUAAGAGAUU